rnacentral:ncRNA from 16 species
CCAAGCGUUAGGUCAGACCUACCGCCCGAUAUCUUAUUGAUAUCUCUGUGUUUUCAGCAGACCCUCGCUGAAAUCAUGGAACCUCUUCUACACGUCGACAAGAUAUGUUUCUUGUAUUUGUUGCCAGCCCGUCUUCAGGCUGGCUUUUUUUUCC